AUUUUGUAUACAGGGUGAUUUCGGGGUCGUGGAGCAAGAGAGCCAGACAUCAUACAGAAUCCAAAGAUGAGCCUAAUGAUGUUGUUAAUUAUUGUUUAUCACCAAUAAUGAUGAUUAUUUUCCAGAUGACAAGUAGGAAAAAACAUUUUUGCAUACAAUUUGGUGACCCUACUCAAUGUGACGUCUUGUCGCUUUCCAUACAGCGUAUGUCAAAAGUCAUAGGGUGACCAUAAUUACUUAAUUUUUUUAAUACCACAUCGGUGGCAAACAAGCAUACGGCCUGCCUGAUGGUAAGCAGUCACCGUAGCCUAUGGACGCCUGCAACUCCAGAGGUGUUACAUGCGCGUUGCCGACCUUUUAAAAA